UACGAAGGGUGCAAGCGUUAAUCGGAAUUACUGGGCGUAAAGGGUGCGUAGGCGGUUCGUUAAGUCUGUCGUGAAAGCCCCGGGCUCAACCUGGGAAUUGCGCGCGAAAACGGGGGGGGCUUGAGUUCGGGAGAGGAGCGUGGAAUUCCCAGUGUAGAGGUGAAAUUCGUAGAUAUUGGGAAGAACACCGGUGGCGAAGGCGGCGCUCUGGACCGAGACUGACGCUGAGGCGCGAAAAGCAUGGGGAGCGAACAGG
rnacentral:rRNA from 1 species